rnacentral:rRNA from 1 species
ACGCUCGACACCUACUGGAGGCAGCAGUGGGGAAUAUUGCACAAUGGGGGAAACCCUGAUGCAGCGACGCCGCGUGAAGGAAGAAGUAUUUCGGUAUGUAAACUUCUAUCAGCAGGGAAGAAGAUGACGGUACCUGACUAAGAAGCCCCGGCUAACUACGUGCCAGCAGCCGCGGUAAUCUGAGCGGGCUUGGCAAGGC